AUGGCUGAGGUCCCGAGCGCGGCGCUGUCCCAGGCGGGUUGGUAUCUUUCAGAUGAAGGAAUUGAAGCUUGCAAAAGUUCUCCUGACAAAGUCAAUAUAAAUGACAUCAUCCUGAUUGCUCUCAAUACAGAUUUGAGAACCAUUGGCAAGAAAUUCCUCCCCAGUGACAUUAAUGGUGGAAAGGUGGAAAAGCUGGAAGGCCCAUGUGUUCUACAGAUUCAAAAAAUCCGUAAUGUUGCUGCUCCAAAGGAUAAUGAAGAAUCUCAAGUUGCACCAAGGAUGCUGCGUUUGCAGAUGACUGAUGGGCACAUAAGUUGUACAGCAGUAGAAUUUAAUUAUAUGUCAAAAAUUAGCUUGAACACACCACCUGGAACCAAAGUAAAGCUCUCAGGCAUUAUUGAUAUAAAGAAUGGAUUCCUGCUUUUGAAUGACACAAACACUGUAGUCCUUGGAGGUGAAGUGGAACACCUUAUUGAAAAAUGGGAAUUACAGAGAAGCUUGUCAAAACACAACAGAAGCAACAUUGGAACAGAAGGUGGACCACCUCCUUUUGUGCCUUUUGGACAGAAGUGUGUGUCUCAUAUUCAAGUGGAUAGCAGAGAACUUGAUCGGAGAAAGACAUUGCAAGUAACAGCUCCUGCCAAACCUCCAGGUGAUAAUGAUGAAUUUGAAAAACAGAGAACAGCUGCUAUUGCCGAAGUUUCAAAGAGCAAAGAGACCAAGACAUUUGGAGGAGGUGGUGGUAAUGCUAGAAGUAAUCUCAACAUGGGUACUGGAGGGAAUCGAAACAGGGAAGUUUUCCAGAAAGAAAAGAUAACAAAACCUGAAGGAAAAUAUGAAGGUGUCUAUCGAGAGCUGGUUGAUGAAAAGGCUCUGAAGCAUAUAACAGAAAUGGGCUUUAGUAAAGAAGCAUCCAGGCAGGCCCUCAUGGAUAAUGGCAACAACUUAGAAGCAGCAUUAAAUGUUCUUCUCAACAGCAAUAAGCAGAAACCUGUUUUGGGUCCACCAUUGAGAGGCAAAGGAAAAGGCAGGGGACGAGGAAGAUGUGAAGAUGAAGAAGAAUUAGGAAAUUCAAGGCCAUCAGCACCCAGCACAUUAUUUGAUUUCUUGGAGUCAAAAAUGGGGUCUUUAAACAUGGAAGAGUCCAAAUCACAGUCUCAGCCGCUUCAUCAGGGACAACACAGACUAUUGAAUAAUGAACAAAAUGGAGUCAAAGACUAUAAUCAACCGAGACAUCUUCCUCGAAAUGAUACCAGACAACCAAGGAAUGAAAAACCUCCUCGUUUUCAAAGGGAUGCCCAAAAUUCAAGACAAAUUUUAGAAAAUAGUGGGUUAUCUAGGAACAGAGGUCCUGAAAGACAGAGCUCUUCUGUGGUACAUGAAGCAUGGACAGAAGAGAGAAUUAAGUGUGAUAGACCUUAUGCUAGAAAUGACAGAAUUAAAGAUAUUGCAUAUCCUUCAACUUCUCACCAGAAUGAUGGUGCUUUUAAAAAAAGAGAUAACUCUAUGCAAAAUAGAUCAGGCAAAGGUUCAUCUUACUUGGAGGUAAAAGAGAGCCCACUUCCUCAAGAAACCAUAGACCACAAUAAUCAAAAACAAAAGAAAGGGAAAACCAAAUCUCAAACCCUGAUCAGAAAACUGCCACGUUAUUUUGUAACUUACUCACAUCAUUUUGGAAUAGUAUUUAUUAACCUGCUUAAAACUUUUUUUUUAAAGUUUUAUCGGGCAGAAAUUGAAGCUCUUCAUUCUUCUGGUAUGACUGCAGUUGUUAAAUUCAGUGAUUAUGGAAACUACGAAGAGGUGCUUCUAAGCAACAUCAGGCCCAUUCAAGCAGAGGCAUGGGAAGAAGAAGAGGGUACCUAUGAUCAAACACUUGAGUUCCGAAGAGGGGGUGAUGGCCAGCCCAGAAGAUCAACGAGGCCAACCCAGCAAUUUUACCAGCCUCCCCGAGCUAGAAAUUGAGCAGGAAGAAAUAAGUUUUUUUUUAAACAAAAGGAGCCAUUGAAUAAACCAUUCUGGUGAAGAACUGAUGAUGGACCU
ensembl:lncRNA